ensembl:snRNA
GCAUUGUUUGCAAGGAGAGGUUAGCAUUCCCCUUGACAAGGAUGGAAGAGGCCCUUGGGCCUGACAACACUCAUACGGUUAAGGCAUUGCCACCUAUUUGUGGCAUUGAACCAUUGUUUUUG